rnacentral:rRNA from 1 species
UACGUAGGGGGCUAGCGUUGUCCGGAAUCAUUGGGCGUAAAGAGCGCGUAGGCGGCCAGAUAAGUCCGGUGUGAAAGUCAAAGGCUCAACCUUUGAAUGCCGCUGGAAACUGUCUGGCUAGAGUCCGGGAGGGGCGAGUGGAAUUCCUGGUGUAGCGGUGAAAUGCGCAGAUAUCAGGAGGAGCACCGGUGGCGAAGGCGGUUCUCUGGGCAUUACCUGACGCUGAGGAGCGAAAGUGUGGGGAGCGAACAGG